rnacentral:pre_miRNA from 1 species
UCUUAUGCAUAAGCAAAGAAAGUGGUUUCUUGAGAUGGAAUCUAUUAUUGGUGAAAAUGCUGUGAA